UACAGAGGUCUCAAGCGUUGUUCGGAUUCAUUGGGCGUAAAGGGUGUGUAGGUGGCGCCGUAAGUCGGGUGUGAAAUUUCGGAGCUUAACUCCGAAACUGCAUUCGAUACUGCCGUGCUUGAGGACUGGAGAGGAGACUGGAAUUUACGGUGUAGCGGUGAAAUGCGUAGAUAUCGUAAGGAAGACCAGUGGCGAAGGCGGGUCUCGUGGACAGUUCCUGACGCUGAGGCACGAAGGCCCAGGGGAGCAAAACGGG
rnacentral:rRNA from 1 species